rnacentral:lncRNA from 1 species
GGCGAUACAUAGGAUGACUUUCGGCCUUGAUGUGCUAAUGUGCUGAAACGGUUCACCAGGUAAGAAGAUCUUCUGAAUAUAUUUUUGUGGAAUUUGAAUUGUUUGAUUUUCUCUUUGGAAGAAAUAUCUGUCGGCCACUGUGGGUAGCAUGCACCCUUAAACUACUGUCCAUUCAGCUAUAGCGAUUCACGCUUGCUAAUAACACAGACAAGCAAUUAAAAUGGUGGUGAUGCCAAGUAAAAAUGACUCCUUUUAAACCAUAAAUGAUAUCCAGAUGAUUCAAAUGUUGUAUGCUCAGAGUUUUCUCUUGGUAGCUGUUCCAGAAUCUAAUAAGUUGAAAGCAAUAUAUUAGUAUCCCAGCUUGUUAUUACAAACACCAGUCACAUUGUUCAAUUUCGUCACCGAACAAAUUCAUGUGAAAAGGUUGAAGGGUUUAUUUUGUUGUCAUUGGUAUUCCUAGGUGAUAUAGCCAGUAACGUGAUACAUCUUUUUUUUUUCUGAGCGGAUAUGAUGUAGGUCUUCUUUAUGUUGCUGAGCUGAUCUUGAAUUUGUACACACAUGUUGUUCAUACACUGUUAUAUAGGUGCUACUAUUAGAUUGUAUAUUCAUCUGUAUCGGGUUACUAACAGAUUAACAAAUUUAUUUUCUCCAGGUGAACAAAGGGUCGCUGCAAUUGUUAUGUGGUUGCGGCGGUGUUAUAAUGUUAUCUAAAGAAAACUUAUCGUGCCUUAACCUAGCCAAGUUUCUAUGUAGCAAGAUGCUUUUGAAUAGGUAAUCCAGGGAGUUGGUCGCUCUUCUCUUGAGCCAGGAGAGUUUCAGCUCGAAAGUAUCACCUAUACUUGGUACUUUUGUGUAGUGGUGAGAGUUUCUGAGCUGGUUUAAAUGAAUGAUGCUGUAAGAACUAGAACCCUGAAACCGUGGUUCUUGCUGCUCUAUUGUAUUUUGUAAUGGCUACUGCUACUUGCUAAAACUGUGGACCUGUGGUGGUGUUCUUAGUUUCCUAUUUGCAAGCGUUCCUGGCUUGUCGUUUCUGU